GCUUCCUUAAGUUCUCUAAUCUGCUUAAUGUUGAGCCGCCCUUGACCAACAGCAGUUUCAAUGGCAGCAGCCAUUUUUGUGGUUGUUAUGCUCUUAAUGAUCUUAUUGGCAUAUUCAGAAGGCAACCCAACUUGCUCCUGCAACUCAUUGAGCUGUUCUACCCUGGCCUUUGUAAGUUGACCAUCAGCCAAAAUUACCUCAGCCUGUUGCUGGAAGGCCUGCUCAGCUAGGCUCCUAUGUACUUCAACAAUCUCCUUAGUGGUUAAACCCAAAAUGUUACCAAGCUGAUUUAGUAAGAGGUACUCGGAAUCAUCCUUCUUUGUCGUAAUUUGAGCACCAAAUGGAAUUCGGGUAACUUCACCAGUUAAACAAAAAAGUAAAUAUGUCUUGUAAAGGUCAGUUCGUUCUCUUUCUGGCAGGUCAUCCUUCAAAG
rnacentral:misc_RNA from 1 species